CAGAUAAAGGGCUGAAGAUCAAUAGCUGAAGGUAGUGGCUUCCCUAAAGUCACAAGCUACAUUCAUGGCAGAGUCCCUCCCUUUGUCCAUUGCACCAAAACAGCUAUUUCUGCCCUUGCUUUUCCUGGAUGAACAGUAGGUGCCUCAGUCUUCCAGUCAGGGAAGCACCCGCUACGACAGAUACAGUGUUUGUCUCUUCAGAUGAAUGUCAGUGUAUCCAUGAGCAGCAUGGCGGAAAUGUUGUUCACAGAAAGCCACAGUAGCAACAAAAGCCUGCAUAUCUUGGCUCAGUAUCUUGCUGACUGAUUCCCGCAGACUUGAGGAAGGAAGCUUCUUCAGAUUCUUCUUUUUUAACCUUGGAUAGUAACUCUAGUCCAUGGACGGUAACCAUAGUCUGUUUGAUACCAAACAGACAGCUUAUUCAUCGCUUUCUUUUCUGAAUGCUGACUCAAGGAGGGACCAAAAAACACAAGCAACAAGAUUUUUACAUUCUCUAAUUUAAAGAAUUGGCUGUUUGCAGCAGAAUGUCAGUCGUGUUUUCUGUCCGAGUUGUCAAAAUCCAGCUCACGUUCGGCGAAAUAUUGGGCAGCUAAGAUUCCUGUCUCUGUUUUAAUGAAGCCAGCUCCAUCCUGCUUCCACCUUCUUGAAGUAUUUUUUUUAACCUUUAGGUUGUUUUCAAAUUAAAAUCUAUUUUUAAAGCCUUA